rnacentral:rRNA from 1 species
UACGUGAGGGGCUAGCGUUGUCCGGAUUUAUUGGGCGUAAAGAGCGUGUAGGCGGCCAGAUAGGUCUGCUGUGAAAACUCGAGGCUCAACCUCGAGAUGUCGGCGGAAACCAUCUGGCUAGAGUCCGGAAGAGGAAAGUGGAAUUCCCGGUGUAGCGGUGAAAUGCGCAGAUAUCGGGAAGAACACCCGUGGCGAAGGCGGCUUUCUGGGACGGUACUGGACGCUGAGACGCGAAGGCGUGGGGAGCGAACAGG